UACGGGGGGGGCAAGCGUUGUUCGGAAUUACUGGGCGGAAAGGGCUCGUAGGUGGCCAACUAAGUCAGACGUGAAAUCCCUCAGCUUAACUGGGGAACUGCGUCUGAUACUGGAUGGCUUGAGUUUGGGAGAGGGACGCGGAAUUCCAGGUGUAGCGGUGAAAUGCGUAGAUAUCUGGAGGAACACCGGUGGCGAAGGCGGCGUCCUGGACCAACACUGACGCUGAGGAGCGAAAGCCAGGGGAGCAAACGGG
rnacentral:rRNA from 1 species